rnacentral:rRNA from 1 species
UUCUCCUACGGGGGGCAGCAGCCGCGGUAAUACGUAGGGGGCAAGCGUUAUCCGGAUUUACUGGGUGUAAAGGGAGCGUAGACGGCUUGGCAAGCCAGAUGUGAAAGGCUGGGGCUCAACCCCAGGACUGCAUUUGGAACUGUCAUGCUAGAGUGUCGGAGAGGCAGGCGGAAUUCCUAGUGUAGCGGUGAAAUGCGUAGAUAUUAGGAGGAACACCAGUGGCGAAGGCGGCCUGCUGGACGAUGACUGACGUUGAGGCUCGAAAGCGGGGGG